rnacentral:misc_RNA from 1 species
UCCUCUCUCAAACCCCCGGGUUUGGUGUUGGACCGCGUUGGCCGGGUUCGGCCAACUGGUCUCAAAGACAAUGACGGCGUCCCAGGGACCCUCUUCGCACUGAGCUUUCCGGAGCACGCGUAAGAGUUUCAAGGGCCCAGGGACCCGGUCGCCUCUAAAAACUUUUUUCA